rnacentral:rRNA from 1 species
UACGGAGGGUGCAAGCGUUAAUCGGAAUUACUGGGCGUAAAGCGCACGCAGGCGGUUUUUUAAGUGAGAUGUGAAAUCCCCGGGCUCAACCUGGGAAUUGCAUCUGAUACUGGGAAGCUUGAGUCUCGUAGGGGGGGGUGGAAUUCCAGGUGUAGCGGUGAAAUGCGUAGAGAUGUGGAGGAAUACCGGUGGCGAAGGCAGCCCCCUGGGCGAAGACUGACGCUCAGGUGCGAAAGCGUGGGGAGCAAACAGG